GCCAGUCCGAACCCUGAGGCUCACCGCAGGGUCUGGUUGGCCUUCUCCAGAGUCUCGAUGUUCUGCUCCAGUUGGAACAGCUGGAGGCGCAGUUGCUCUGCCUCCUCUGUGCCCUUUCUCUGCUGGCGGCACUUCUCUGUCAGCAUGAGGAUAACCUACAGCAGCGGGCAGGCAUCACAGACCCCUCGUGGGGCCCCAGCCCACCCCUAGCUCCCUUUUGAAGAUACAGCUUAGGACUUGUUCCCACUUACAGGCAGGCCAGCGCCACCUCUAGACAACAGCUAGACAGGAACUGGGCUCUGCUCAGUGAUGGGGCAAACAGACUCCAGAGCUAGGGCCAGCACCCCAGUGAGGAAAGUCUGGGGCCUCCCUGCAGACUAUCCCCACUCGUGACUUGGUUCUGGUAUGGGGUCCACCCUCAUUUCACAGGAGGACAGCACAGCGGCCGUACCUUCUGAUUCCCUAUGUUCUUUUUGGCCAUGAUCUCCUGUGUGUUCUCCAGCAACUCCAGCUGUUGGCACAGCUUGCCCUGAGCGCCCUUGAGUUGCUCGUUCUCCUGCAGCAGCUGCACACCUUGCUUUGACACCUUGGACAGCUGCAGGGUCACGUUGUUGUUCUCUAGGAUGGCCCGCCUGGUCGUCUCCCACAUCUGGUUGGUGGCCACCUUUCGGAACUCGGUGGCCACCAGGUUCACGCGCUGGAUGAUCUCUUUCCUCAGCCUUGCCAGGAGGGUUGUACACGUAGUCCUUGUAUUCACCCUCCUGCCUUCGAAGCUGUUCCUCCAGCGCCAUGUACUUCUCUGUGAGCUCUUCUUUCUGCAGCCGGAACUCCUCCAGGGAACUCAGCUUGAUUCCUGCCCAUUCGGGGCCACAAGGCUGGACUGGCCUGCACAGCCAUCCCCUGCGUUUCUCCGGAGUGCCUGACCUCACACUCUAUAAUCUCACCAAACCUCGUUCAGAUCCUCCUCAAGAAGUCCCCCUUGACAACCUCCCCACAUGAGAGUGACCAUGACGACAGCAGCUGACCCUGGGCAGACAAGUCUCAACCUUCCCUUUCAGAUGGGCGGCAUAGAUAAAAAUCCUCCAUCUUUU
rnacentral:lncRNA from 1 species